UACGGGGGAGCAAGCGUUGGUCGGGUUUAAUGGGCGUAAAAGGCGCGUAGGGGGCCACCGCAAGUCAGUUGUGAAAUCUCUGGGCUUAACCCAGAAAGGUCAACUGAUACUGCGGGGCUAGAGUGCAGAAGGGGCAACUGGAAUUCUCGGUGUAGCGGUGAAAUGCGUAGAUAUCGAGAGGAACACCUGCGGCGAAGGCGGGUUGCUGGGCUGACACUGACGCUGAGGCGCGAAAGCUAGGGGAGCGAACAGG
rnacentral:rRNA from 1 species